rnacentral:rRNA from 1 species
AACGAACGCUGGCGGCAUGCCUAACACAUGCAAGUCGAACGAGACCUUCGGGUCUAGUGGCGCACGGGUGCGUAACGCGUGGGAACCUGCCCUUAGGUUCGGAAUAACUCCCCGAAAGGGGUGCUAAUACCAGAUAAUGUCUUCGGACCAAAGAUUUAUCGCCUUUGGAUGGGCCCGCGUUGGAUUAGCUAGUUGGUAGGGUAAAAGCCUACCAAGGCGACGAUCCAUAGCUGGUCUGAGAGGAUGAUCAGCCACACUGGGACUGAGACACGGCCCAGACUCCUACGGAAGGCAGCAGUGGGGAAUAUUGGACAAUGGGCGAAAGCCUGAUCCAGCAAUGCCGCGUGAGUGAUGAAGGCCUUAGGGUUGUAAAGCUCUUUUACCCGGGAUGAUAAUGACAGUACCGGGAGAAUAAGCUCCGGCUAACUCCGUG